UUGGAGGGCAAGUCUGGUGCCAGCAGCCGCGGUAAUUCCAGCUCCAAUAGCGUAUAUUAAAGUUGUUGCAGUUAAAAAGCUCGUAGUUGAAUUUCGGGGUCAGUAGGUCGGUCGUGCCACUGGUAUGAACUGGUUUUACUGAUUCCUCCCUCUUGAAGGACUGUAAUGCCAUUAAUUUGGUGUUGCUGGGAAUCAGGACUGUUACUUUGAAAAAAUUAGAGUGUUUAAAGCAGGCUUUAGCUUGAAUACAUUAGCAUGGAAUAAUGAAAUAGGACGUUUGAUCCUAUUUUGUUGGUUUCUAGGAUUGACGUAAUGAUUAAUAGGGAUAGUUGGGGGCAUUAGUAUUCAAUUGUCAGAGGUGAAAUUCUUGGAUUUAUUGAAGACUAACUACUGCGAAAGCAUUUGCCAAGGAUGUUUUCAUUAAUCAAGAACGAAAGUUAGGGGAUCGAAGACGAUCAGAUACCGUCGUAGUCUUAACCAUAAACUAUGCCGACUAGAGAUCGGAUGAUGUUAAUUUUUUAAUGACUCAUUCGGCGCCUUACGGGAAAC
rnacentral:rRNA from 1 species